GCCAGCAUUUAGUUGGGCACUCUAAAGUGACUGCCGGUGCAAGCCGGAGGAAGGUGGGGAUGACGUCAAAUCAUCAUGCCCCUUAUGACCUGGGCUACACACGUGCUACAAUGGAUAGUACAAAGGGUCGCGAAGCCGCGAGGUGGAGCUAAUCCCAUAAAACUAUUCUCAGUUCGGAUUGUAGGCUGCAACUCGCCUACAUGAAGCCGGAAUCGCUAGUAAUCGUGGAUCAGCAUGCCACGGUGAAUACGUUCCCGGGCCUUGUACACACCGCCCGUCACACCACGAGAGUUUGUAACACCCGAAGUCGGUAGGGUAACCUUUAUGGAGCCAGCCGCCGAAGGUGGGACAGAUAAUUGGGGUGAAGUCGUAACAAGGUAGCCGUAUCGGAAGGUGCGGCUGGAUCACCUCCUUUCUAAGGAA
rnacentral:rRNA from 1 species